rnacentral:rRNA from 1 species
GUUAGCUGCAGAAGAAGCACCGGCUAACUCCGUGCCAGCAGCCGCGGUAAUACGGAGGGUGCGAGCGUUAAUCGGAAUUACUGGGCGUAAAGCGCAUGCAGGUGGUUUGUUAAGUCAGAUGUGAAAGCCCGGGGCUCAACCUCGGAAUUGCAUUUGAAACUGGCAAACUAGAGUACUGUAGAGGGGGUAGAAUUUCAGGUGUAGCGGUGAAAUGCGUAGAGAUCUGAAGGAAUACCGGUGGCGAAGGCGGCCCCCCUGGACAGAUACUGACACUCAGAUGCGAAAGCGUGGGGAGCAAACAGGAUUAGAUACCCCUGGUAG